GCCCGUCUGGCGAAACGGCAGACGCGCCGGCAUGAGGUGCCGGUGCCCGAAAGGGCGUCCGGGUUCAAAUCCCGGGAUGGGCA
rnacentral:tRNA from 2 species